UACGUAGGGUGCGAGCGUUGUCCGGAAUUAUUGGGCGUAAAGAGCUUGUAGGCGGUCUGUCGCGUCUGCUGUGAAAAUCCGAGGCUCAACCCCGGACUUGCAGUGGGUACGGGCAGACUAGAGUGAGGUAGGGGAGACUGGAAUUCCUGGUGUAGCGGUGAAAUGCGCAGAUAUCAGGAGGAACACCGGUGGCGAAGGCGGGUCUCUGGGCCGAUACUGACGCUGAGGAGCGAAAGCGUGGGGAGCGAACAGG
rnacentral:rRNA from 1 species